UACGAAGGGUGCAAGCGUUAAUCGGAAUUACUGGGCGUAAAGCGUGCGUAGACGGCCUGUUAAGUCGGAUGUGAAAGCCCCGGGCUCAACCUGGGAAUGGCAUCCGAUACUGAUGGGCUAGAGUGCGGUAGAGGAGAGCGGAAUUCCCGGUGUAGCGGUGAAAUGCGUAGAGAUCGGGAGGAACAUCCGUGGCGAAGGCGGCUCUCUGGACCAGCACUGACGUUGAGGCACGACAGCCGGUGGGGAGCAAACAGG
rnacentral:rRNA from 1 species